ACGGGUGAGUAACGCGUGGGAACAUACCCUUCGGUUCGGAAUAACUCAGGGAAACUUGAGCCAAUACCGGAUACGUCCGAGAGGAGAAAGAUUUAUUGCCGAAGGAUUGGCCCGCGUCCGAUUAGCUAGUUGGUGAGGUAACUGCUCACCAAGGCAUUGAUCGGUAGCUGGUCUGAGAGGAUGAUCAGCCACACUGGGACUGAGACACGGCCCAGACUCCUACGGGAGGCAGCAGUGGGGAAUAUUGGACAAUGGGCGCAAGCCUGAUCCAGCCAUGCCGCGUGAGUGAUGAAGGCCUUAGGGUUGUAAAGCUCUUUCGCUGGGGACGAUAAUGACGGUACCCAGAUAAGAAGCCCCGGCUAACUUCGUGCCAGCAGCCGCGGUAAUACGAAGGGGGCUAGCGUUGUUCGGAUUUACUGGGCGUAAAGCGCACGUAGGCGGAUUUUUAAGUCAGGGGUGAAAUCCCGAGGCUCAACCUCGGAAUUGCCUUUGAUACUGGAAGUCUUGAGUUCGGAAGAGGUGAGUGGAAUUGUGAGUGUAGAGGUGAAAUUCGUAGA
rnacentral:rRNA from 1 species